UACAGAGGAGCCAAGCGUUGUCCGGAUUGACUGGGCGUAAAGCGCACGCAGGCGGACGCGCGCGUGGGGUGUGAAAUCUGGCCGCUUAACGGCCAGGCGCCAUCCCAUACGGCGCGUCUGGAGUGAUGCAGAGGUCGAUGGAAUUGCCGGUGUAGUGGUGAAAUGCGUAGAGAUCGGCAGGAACACCCAGGGGGAAACCAGUCGACUGGGCAUCUACUGACGCUGAGGUGCGAGAGCGUGGGAGC
rnacentral:rRNA from 1 species